GCCAGUGUGACAUAGUGGUUUUAGUGUUGGACUACAAGUCUAGAGACUAACGUUCAAUUCCCCGCUCUGCCA